UACGUAGGGGGCAAGCGUUGUCCGGAUUUAUUGGGCGUAAAGAGCGUGUAGGCGGCCUGAAAGGUCAGCUGUGAAAACUCGAGGCUCAACCUCGAGACGUCGGUUGAAACCAUCUGGCUAGAGUCCGGAAGAGGAGUGUGGAAUUCCCGGUGUAGCGGUGAAAUGCGCAGAUAUCGGGAAGAACACCCGUGGCGAAGGCGGCACUCUGGGACGGUACUGACGCUGAGGCGCGAAAGCGUGGGGAGCGAACAGG
rnacentral:rRNA from 1 species